rnacentral:tRNA from 1 species
GCCGGAGUGGCGGAAUUGGCAGACGCGCCGGAUUCAAAAUCCGGUUCCCGUUUAGGGAGUAUGGGUUCGAGUCCCAUCUCCGGUA